CCCUACAGACAUUCCAGUGUGGCUGGCUUCCCUUUUCUCUCUCACAAGCUAAGCAGGGCUGGGCAGGGUCAGCACCUGGAGAGGAGGCUGCCUUGGAAUAGCUGGGUUCUGUGGGCU
rnacentral:rRNA from 1 species